UGGGGAAUAUUGCACAAUGGGCGAAAGCCUGAUGCAGCAACGCCGCGUGAGUGAUGAAGGUCUUCGGAUUGUAAAGCUCUGUCUUUUGGGACGAUAAUGACGGUACCAAAGGAGGAAGCCACGGCUAACUACGUGCCAGCAGCCGCGGUAAUACGUAGGUGGCGAGCGUUGUCCGGAUUUACUGGGCGUAAAGGGUGCGUAGGCGGAUGUUUAAGUGAGAUGUGAAAUACCCGGGCUUAACUUGGGUGCUGCAUUUCAAACUGGAUAUCUAGAGUGCAGGAGAGGAGAAUGGAAUUCCUAGUGUAGCGGUGAAAUGCGUAGAGAUUAGGAAGAACACCAGUGGCGAAGGCGAUUCUCUGGACUGUAACUGACGCUGAGGCACGAAAGCGUGGGUAGCAAACAGGAUUAGAUACCCUGGUAGUCCACGCCGUAAGCGAUGAGUACUAGGUGUAGGAGGUAUCGACCCCUUCUGUGCCGCAGUAAACACAUUAAGUACUCCGCCUGGGAAGUACGAUCGCAAGAUUAAAACUCUAAAGUGAA
rnacentral:rRNA from 1 species